rnacentral:rRNA from 1 species
GAUGAACGCUGGCGGCGUGCCUAAUACAUGCAAGUCGAGCGAACAGAUAAGGAGCUUGCUCCUUUGACGUUAGCGGCGGACGGGUGAGUAACACGUGGGUAACCUACCUAUAAGACUGGAAUAACUCCGGGAAACCGGGGCUAAUGCCGGAUAACAUGUUGAACCGCAUGGUUCUACAGUGAAAGGCGGCUUUGCUGUCACUUAUAGAUGGACCCGCGCCGUAUUAGCUAGUUGGUGAGGUAACGGCUCACCAAGGCAACGAUGCGUAGCCGACCUGAGAGGGGGAUCGGCCACACUGGAACUGAGACACGGUCCAGACUCCUACGGGAGGCAGCAGUAGGGAAUCUUCCGCAAUGGGCGAAAGCCUGACGGAGCAACGCCGCGUGAGUGAUGAAGGUCUUCGGAUCGUAAAACUCUGUUAUUAGGGAAGAACAAAUGCGUAAGUAACUGUGCGCGUCUUGACGGUACCUAAUCAGAAAGCCACGGCUAACUACGUG